UACAGAGGGGGCAAGCGUUAUUCGGAAUUAUUGGGCGUAAAGGGCGCGUAGGCGGCCUGGCAAGUGGAAGGUGAAAUCCCUCGGCUUAACCGAGGAACUGCCCUCCAAACUGCUUGGCUUGAGUCCGGGAGAGGGAUGUGGAAUUCCAGGUGUAGCGGUGAAAUGCGUAGAUAUCUGGAGGAACACCGGUGGCGAAGGCGGCAUCCUGGACCGGUAUUGACGCUGAGGCGCGAAAGCUAGGGGAGCAAACGGG
rnacentral:rRNA from 1 species